UACGUAGGGCGCAAGCGUUGUCCGGAUUUAUUGGGCGUAAAGAGCUCGUAGGCGGUCCGUCGCGUCGGCUGUGAAAACCCGAGGCUCAACCUCGGGCCUGCAGUCGAUACGGGCAGACUAGAGUGCGGUAGGGGAGACUGGAAUUCCUGGUGUAGCGGUGAAAUGCGCAGAUAUCGGGAAGAACACCCGUGGCGAAGGCGGCACUCUGGGACGGUACUGACGCUGAGACGCGAAAGCGUGGGGAGCGAACAGG
rnacentral:rRNA from 1 species